rnacentral:tRNA from 1 species
GCCGGUGUGGUUCAGUGGUUAGAGCGUAGGCCUUCAAACCAGGGGGUCAGGGGUUUGAUUCCCAGUCAACGGCA